rnacentral:rRNA from 1 species
GGCUGCUAGACUGCAAGUCGCACGGUGUAGCAAUACACAGUGGCGAACGGGUGAGUAAUGAAUCGCUAAUGUACCCCGGACUCUGGGAUAGCUGCCCGAAAGGGCAGGUAAUACCAGAUGAGACCACGAUCAGGCAUCUGAUUGUGCUCAGAGGUCCGCCGGUCUGGGAGCAGGCGAUUUCGUAUCAGCUUGUUGGUGAGGUAACGGCUCACCAAGGCGACGACGCGUAGCCGGACUGAGAGGUUGGCCGGCCACAUUGGGACUGAGACACUGCCCAGACUCCUACGGGGGGCUGCAGUAACGAAUCUUCCGCAAUGCACGAAAGUGUGACGGAGCGACGCCGCGUGUAGGACGAAGCCCUUCGGGGUGUAAACUACUGUCAGGGGUUAGAAAGUUCUGAUCAACCCCAGAGGAAGGCACGGCUAACUCUGUGCCAGCAGCCGCGGUAAGACAGAGGUGCCAAGCGUUAGGCGGAAUCACUGGGCUUAAAGCGUGUGUAGGCGGACUUGUAAGUACCUUGUGAAAUCCCACGGCUUAACCGUGGAACUGCUUGGUAUACUGCUUGUCUUGAGCCACUUAGGGGCUACCGGAACAAAUGGUGGAGCGGUGAAAUGCGUAGAUAUCAUUUGGAACGCCAACGGUGAAAACAGGUAGCUGGGAGUGUGCUGACGCUGAGACACGAAAGCCAGGGGAGCGAACGGGAUUAGAUACCCCGGUAGUCCUGGCCGUAAACGAUGUCGACUAGAUCGUGGCAGCUCUGACGCUGUCAUGGUCGAAGCAAAAGUGCUAAGUCGACCGCCUGGGAAGUACGGUCGCAAGGCUAAAACUCAAAGGAAUUGACGGAGGCUCACACAAGCGGUGGAGCAUGUGGUUCAAUUCGAAGCAACGCGCAGAACCUUACCUGGGCUUGAC